GGUUCUGUGUGCAUGGAUUUACAUGUAUGCUUGAGUACAAAACUGUGGUUUGUCUGUUUGUGUGUGUAUGUGCUUCAUGUCGGUGUGUGUGUGUGUGUGUGUGUUUAUGAGAGGGUG